rnacentral:rRNA from 1 species
GACGAACGCUGGCGGCGUGCUUAACACAUGCAAGUCGAACGGAAAGGCCCUGCUUUUGUGGGGUGCUCGAGUGGCGAACGGGUGAGUAACACGUGAGUAACCUGCCCUAGACUUUGGGAUAACUUCAGGAAACUGGGGCUAAUACCGGAUAGGAGCUCCUGCUGCAUGGUGGGGGUUGGAAAGUUUCGGCGGUUGGGGAUGGACUCGCGGCUUAUCAGCUUGUUGGUGGGGUAGUGGCUUACCAAGGCUUUGACGGGUAGCCGGCCUGAGAGGGUGACCGGCCACAUUGGGACUGAGAUACGGCCCAGACUCCUACGGGAGGCAGCAGUGGGGAAUAUUGCACAAUGGGCGGAAGCCUGAUGCAGCAACGCCGCGUGCGGGAUGACGGCCUUCGGGUUGUAAACCGCUUUCGCCUGUAACGAAGCGUGAGUGACGGUAAUGGGUAAAGAAGCACCGGCUAACUACGUG